UACGUAGGGUGCGAGCGUUAAUCGGAAUUACUGGGCGUAAAGUGUGCGCAGGCGGCCGCGCAAGUCGAGUGUGAAAUCCCCGAGCUUAACUUGGGAAUUGCGCUCGAAACUACGUGGCUGGAGUGUGGCAGAGGAAGGUGGAAUUCCACGUGUAGCGGUGAAAUGCGUAGAUAUCGUAAGGAAGACCAGUGGCGAAGGCGGGUCUCUGGACAGUUCCUGACGCUGAGGCACGAAGGUCAGGGGAGCAAACGGG
rnacentral:rRNA from 1 species